GAACCACCUGAUCCCUUCCCGAACUCAGAAGUGAAACGACGCAUCGCCGAUGGUAGUGUGGGGUCUCCCCAUGUGAGAGUAGGUCAUCGUCAAGCU
rnacentral:rRNA from 1 species